rnacentral:rRNA from 1 species
AGCGAACGCUGGCGGCAGGCUUAACACAUGCAAGUCGAGCGGGCACUUUCGGGUGUCAGCGGCGGACGGGUGAGUAACGCGUGGGAACGUGCCCUCUGGUUCGGAAUAACUCAGGGAAACUUGAGCUAAUACCGGAUACGCCCUUUUGGGGAAAGGCUUGCUGCCGGAGGAUCGGCCCGCGUCUGAUUAGCUAGUUGGUGAGGUAACGGCUCACCAAGGCGACGAUCAGUAGCUGGUCUGAGAGGAUGAUCAGCCACACUGGGACUGAGACACGGCCCAGACUCCUACGGGAGGCAGCAGUGGGGAAUAUUGGACGAGGGGCGCAAGCCUGAUCCAGCCAUGCCGCGUGAGUGAUGAAGGCCUUAGGGUUGUAAAGCUCUUUUAUCCGGGACGAUAAUGACGGUACCGGAGGAAUAAGCCCCGGCUAACUUCGUG